UCUCCUAUCGUCUAGUGGUCAGGACGCAUGGUUUUCAUCCAUGAGACGAGGGUUCGAACCCCCCUGGGAGAA